rnacentral:rRNA from 1 species
AACGAACGCUGGCGGCAGGCUUAACACAUGCAAGUCGAACGGCUGUAGCAAUACAGCAGUGGCAGACGGGUGAGUAACACGUGGGAACCUUCCUAGGGGUACGGAACAACUCAGGGAAACUUGAGCUAAUACCGUAUACGUCCGAAAGGAGAAAGAUUUAUCGCCCUUAGACGGGCCCGCGUCGGAUUAGCUAGUUGGUGGGGUAACGGCCUACCAAGGCGACGAUCCGUAGCUGAUCUGAGAGGAUGAUCAGCCACACUGGGACUGAGACACGGCCCAGACUCCUACGGGAGGCAGCAGUGGGGAAUCUUGGACAAUGGGCGCAAGCCUGAUCCAGCCAUGCCGCGUGAGUGAAGAAGGCCUUAGGGUUGUAAAGCUCUUUUGGCAGGGACGAUAAUGACGGUACCUGCAGAAUAAGCCCCGGCAAACUUCGUGCCAGCAGCCGCAGUAAUAC